rnacentral:lncRNA from 1 species
UGUAGUGCUGCAGUUGCCGGUGGCUCAAUGUCAGUGAUUCUACGGUGGCUUAGCUUGAGUGCUGGCAGCGAAAAAUAGGGUUUGGAAAUUGGAAUUGGAUGGAAUUGCUUGAUUUUGGGUUUGAACUGCUGAGUGAUAUGUGGCUUUGUGUGUUUGAUUUAUGAAGGGAAAAUUUCACAAAACACCAGUUAAUUUAUAUUAUUGUCUAUUCUACAUGCCACUGUAUUCUUAUUCUAAUUAUACUACUUUUUAUACAGUAUUUUGGAAAACUAAAUGGGAGAACAAAUAAGUAGGUGUAUUAAGUCGGAAAGCAUCAACUAUGGUCAAUUCAAUUCUCCCAAUAUCUUGCACUUUCCCAAAAAAUCCAUUUCAUAUUCCUUUCUCUCCAUCUUGCAGAAAACUAAACGCCACCAUCCAUGCAAAUCCAACAUCCCCAGUUCAAUUAAUCAAGAAAAGGGUGUUAAUUUACUAUACAGAUCGAUCUCAUUACCUCACAUACCCAUGGGCUCCGUCUAUAUCCCACGGUCGGAAGUUGAAUGUCGUAAGUUGGCUACCCCUUGACGGAAGUUGUCGCUGGCUUCCAAAGAGGGUAUUAAUGGAGUGGAAGCUUCGGCAUCUGUGGAGAUAGUGACGACGAAAAUGGAAGUGCACGUUCUCUUUAACGUCGAAUUGCACGUUUUGUCAGAAUAUAAGGAAUAGACCCCCCAGCCAUCAAAGAAGUGUUUAAAACCUCAGUCAAUGUUGAUAAAAGUGAGAAGAGGCCUCCUGACUAUGUUGACGAAGAAUCCUCUAUGAAGAAGAUGAAAAUGGCGUUGCAUUCGAACCCGAAAGAAGGAAAUUCUACGUCUUACGUAUUAUUUUUGGGGAUUUUUGUAAACUGUGAAUGUUAAUAUGUUAAAUUUUGUUUGCUAUCCUGAGGUUGACAUUUUAGAGACAUGAAUUACGUAUGUAUGCGAUUUAUGUAAAGUUCUCCUCCAUGCCUCUCUGACCCUGCUUAUUGCCUGUACCAAAACCAUUGGAUGACACACCGAAACCUUACACUACUGUGUGUGAUAUGUCGCGUUUGAAGAGUUUGAUAUGCUAACAUUUACUUACAUCUCCGUGAUUGAUUGUGAAUAUUAAUUCUUCUUUUCUUAUGAUGACAACAUAUGCAAUACAACCCGUGUUUGUUACCGAGUAACAUUAACAUUUCUAACCUUACAUUUCAUCAUUUGUAUUUCCAUUUUUUUUUUUUUUGUAAUCUGCAAUAUGUAGUGGAAACUCAUUUUACACUUGACUGUGAUGUUCAGAUUGCACACUGUCUAUUUGAAAAUAGAAAUCAGCUGCAGGUGAGUCAGCUUGGAAGUCAGCAAAGCAUGUACACUCCAGUACACAUGGGCGACAAGCUGGACCAUAGGUUGAAGAAUAAAUCUAGAAAGAUGUAGCAUAUUUUCUAUUAUGUGGUUUUCCUUUCGUAACAGUGUUGUUUAUAUAGAUUCUUUUUCCUGCCUGCUGUAUAGGUUUUCCGUUAGCCUGGUACUCUUCUCAUUCUAUAUAUAGUGUGAUCAACCUGUAAAGAAGUGAAUAUAGCAGAUUCAAUAUCAUGAGAAAAUUCUCCCAAAAUUCUUGCACUCCACUGCUCGAUAGUUUUCUUCUUUCAUUUAUUUCUUCUUUUCUUAUAUGGUAUCAGAGCCAGAUAUUGUACAACCUGAUUCUGCUAAUCCAAAUCCAGUUGAAUCUUCAAACACAAAUAUAAAUCAACACCCAAAUCCAAUCACGGUUGAUCCCUCACAGCCAAACAGUCCAUACUAUAUUGGAGCUAAUGAUAGCUCUGGAUCCAUACUCAUUACUCAUGUAUUGGAUUCAAACAAUUAUCAUUCCUAGGCACGUGCAAUGCAAAGAACACUCAGGAUUAAAAAUAAGCUUGGUUUUGUUUAUGGAAGCAUUUCAGAGCCUAGAUAUGCAGACAGUCCACUUAUGGGGAAUUGGUUGAGAUGUAAUGAUAUAGUAAUCACUUGGUUGCAGAAUACUAUGGCAGUUGAAAUAAAAUGCAGCACCAUGUCUACUAAAAUGGCACAUUAGCUAUGGAAGGAACUUGAACAGAGGUUGGCACAGCAAAAAUGCACCUAGGAUUUUUGAACUCAAACAAAGUAUUGCAAACCUGAUGCAAAACCAAGACAGUGUAAGUGUGUAUUUCUCAAAGAUGAAAACUCUUUUGGAUGAAUUGCUAAAUUAUGAAUCAGUACCCAAGUAUUCCUGUAGAGGUUUGAAGGUUGUGGUGAACAACCAACAAAGAGAUUGGGUUAUGAAAUUCCUAAUGGGUCUCAAUGAUACGUACAAGGGAUUAAAGGCUCAAAUUCUCCUCAUUAAGCCUUUCCCAAGCUUGAAUGAAGUAUACUCCAUAAUUCAGCAAUAAGAGAAGAGAAGGCAAAUAUCCACUGAUAGUUCACUUGAUGAAACUAUGGCACUACUUGCUAAGGGUAACCUUGAUGUGGGAAAACAAAACCAAUCCUCUCAGAAGAAGGAUAGGUACUACUGCACCUAUUGUAAGAUAGCUGGGCAUUCCCUUGAACGAUGCUUCAAGGCUAAUCCAAACAAACCAGUAUACUCUUAUUGCCAAAUGCCUGGUCAUACAGUUGGAAAAUGUUUUGAGUUACACGGGUAUCCAUCGGGGCACAAAUCAGAAGAGAGAAACAAGCCAUCAACAUCAUUUGCUAAUCAGAUUACUGCACUUAUGCCUCUUGUCCAGGAACAGGUAAAUAAUAAAGCUCAAAUGUCUUUAACUUGGGAGCAAUAUGAUCAACUCAUGGCACUGCUGAAACUAAAAACUCAUCAAACCUUCAUCCCUUUUGCAAAUCACGUUCAAACUUUGUUCCAACUCAUUCUGAUAAUGUUGAGAUGCCAAAAGUUUUUGGUAUAUCUCUAUGUCUGUUUGCCUUUAGCACUAAACUUCAUGAUCAUUCAGUUGCACCUUGGAUAUUAGACAUGGGGCCACAGAUCAUAUGAUCUGCUCAACCUCUCUCUUUACCACAAUAAAGUCUAAAGUUUCAUAUUCAGUAGGUCUCCCAAAUGGUGUAAAGUUGUUCCUGUCACUCACAUUGGGACAGUAAAAUUUUCAGAAUCUUUCAUUUUGGAUAAUGUUCUUUAUGUUCCGUCGUUUUCUUUUAAUCUGAUAUCAGCUAGAAAAAUAACACGAAUUGUUGCCUCAUUUUUCUUCGUGAUUGUUGUUUUACACAGGACCUUUUGACUUGGAAAAUGAUUGGAAUGGGUGAAGUGAAGCAAGGACUCUAUCACUUGAUGUAAAACAAAGUGUCUCCUUUUGCCUUGACCAAGAAAUUAGCCUAUCUAACUCAAAAGACACCCAUAUCCGCUUCCUCUAUUUUCAAUAAUGGUGAAGAUUUCGAUCUUUGGCACUGUAGGUUAGGACACUCCACCUAUUCCAAGCUUAAUUUACCAGAAGUCACCACAAGAUCCACCAAACAGCCUUGCCUUAUUUGUCCUUUAGCCAAACUACAAAAAUUACCAUUUCCUGGCAGCCAGCAUAGAUCAGAAAAAUGUUUUGAUCUCAUACAUUGUGACAUUUGGGGACCAUGUAAUGAGAUUAAUUAUGAUGGGUUUCGUUAUUUUCUAGCUAUUGUGGAUGAUUUUAGUAGAUGUACUUGGGUUUAUAUGUUGAAAUUCAAAUCUGAUGCUGGCAUUGUUUUG